UGGAGCAGGAGCUCGCCCGGUAGUUUCUUUGGCGAAGAUACGACGCUUUCUUUUGCUUCUUAAGGGAACUGGGUCUCCUUACAUUGGCUCCAAGGAUGCCGGGCGGGAGGGCCCUUGCUGGCGCCCCACUUGGAAGCACAACAAACCUGUCCGGGACUCUCCCAGAGCCUUCUGUUACUGCUGCACUGGCCUGCACUGCAUCACGUGGCCAGAGUGGAGGCUGAAAUGGCAUCUCCUCUGACAGGCCUCCUGACCUUUCUCUGCAGCGAUGCAGCUGCAGAGUGUAUUCUGAAUGAUGAGCGAAAAGCACCCUCCGUUUCCCCAGGACAGUUGCCAGCCAGCCCUGCUCUCAUUUUUUUUUUCUAGCACUUAUUGUAUGUAAAUAUGUAUUUGGUUUACCUGUCUGUUUCCUCCAACUAGAGUCUAGUCUGUGACUCCCCGAGGGUUUUGUUUUAUCUGGUAGUCAGUGCUCAGAGCAAUGCCUGGUACACAGUAAACGCUCAGACAUCUGUUGAAGGAAAGUGUUAUCUGGGCAAACUUUGUGGGCACAGCAGGCUGGUAAUGAUUUGGUAUGGGUUGAUGAAUUCUUGCACUCCAGUAAAUGACCUUUGUCUUUUCAAGUGUAAUAUUUAAUUUUUAAUUAGUUUGGCAUGACAAGUUAAGUAUUUAAAGCAGUUAAUCAUUUAUUCAUUUAAAAUAACAGGUUGUUUUUAGAUAGAAGUCUAAGGAAGAAAAUAAAAAUGGACUCUCAGCCUAUUGACCAAAGAAGCCUACUGAUAGGCUUAAUAAAGCCUACUUAUAUCUUAAUAAAGAUAUAUAUAUAUUUCUAGGAUAACAACAAAACAAAUGAUAAAAGUACAUGCUUUUAAUUAGAAACUUGAAGUUGUAUAGAAAAGUUAACAGAGUAAAAAGUAGAAGACAUUCCCCUCUGUACUUUUCUGGUUUCUAUCACAAAAAGAGACCCUUAUAACCAAUUUCACAUGAUUUGUUUCAGAAAAUUUUUCUGUGCCUACAGGUAUACGUUUACUAGCAAAAUAUUCAUUAUCUUAAGUUGCUUUAGACAUAAACACACCACAAUAGCUUCUUCCGCAACCCUUGCAUAGUUUGUACUUAGAUAUUUAUUUGCUCAACUAUAUGUUGACUCUCUUUCUUCCACCCAGCUCUGCCUGCACCAUUCAGGCCCCAGGGCCUGGCGCACAGCAGGCCUUGUAACCUGUCGGCUGAGCCAUUGGUUAAACUGGUACACUCUCUCCAGCAGCGGGCACUGUGCACUUUUUAAUGUACAUUCACCAAAACAGAAUUCUUAUACCAUUACUGAAGCUUUUUAAGGUUUGUGUUCAGUGAACAGUAAUAGAUUUUUAAAAAUUGUUAGCAUUCUACGUGUUUUCAAGUGAAUUAUCUCACGUGAUCCUCAGGCAGAUCUCCUAAAGUGAUUCUUGUCAUUUCUGUUUCUCAAAUAAUACUCAGAGAUGUCAAAAUCCAAGGACAGAUGAAGACUGUAAUAUUAGGGGAAAGUUCUAGGCCUCCAUGUCCUAUUUAUAUUUCUAGGCAUCUUCCUUUUUUCAUCAGUCUCAACAGUUAGAAUGCUGUGGACGGUUGAGCAGAGCUCUAAAUAUUGUGUCUGAAUACUCUGUCUUGUCAUAAAGGUACAUUUCACGUCUCUCUAAUUAGCUCAGCAGAUGAAGCAAAGAUCUGAAGACUCACUAAACACUAACAAAACAAAAAAGCAAGCAGAAAAUUCCUCUACCACAAGAGAAACUUCUUAACAUUGUAAAAAAAAAAACCCCAAUCCACCUGGCUUCUAAGCAGCAGGCCUGCAGCUCAGAGUCAAAACACAGGAAGUGAGUUGUAAAUGGCACAAUGAAUAAAACAGCUAUUUUGGGGGUGAAACAGAAUCUGCUCUCUGAUCUUUAGAUGUCACCUCUCUAGGUGAGGAGGGACUGUGGAGUCAAAAUGCUCACCCAGUGGCUCCUUUCUCAAAAAGCAGCAGCCAGCAUACACCUCAGUAAAUAAACUGGGGGAAAAAAGAUUGAAUUACACACUUAAACCGGAUGUAUCCUUCCCAGCAACUCCGCAUCUCAGAGCACAAUCUAGACUCCUUCAGGGCUCUGCCUGCGUCGUCUCCUGGGCGCCCCGUCCUCCGCCCGGCCCCCUCGUCGGUCUCCCGGGCGCCCCGUCCUCCGCCCGCCCCCCUCCCGUCUCGCUCCGGCCUUGAUGACCCAGGACACGCCCCUCACUACGGCUCCCUGCGGACCCCUCCCCAACCCGAUGCCUCACACUGUGUUCCCUCACUUGGCGGGGUUUCUGCUUCUCCAGCAUCUCUCUUCAAAAUUGCCCCCAUCCCGACCCUCCCUAUUUCUCUUCUCUACUUACUUUUCUCCGAAGCUUAAGACUCCACCAAGUAUUUCAACACUGGCUGGUCAUUAAAAUUUAGAGCUCACCCUGGGUUAAGUGGAUGAUUUCCUGGAAAACAGCUGGUUGAGCUUCCCUCUGCUUGUCUCUGAAAUAAACAUCCCCUUUGGAGAAAGGGUUUCUCCAGUGCC